UGGUGGCAGCUUGGUGGUCGUAUGUGUGGCGCCAUUUAUUUGACCCCUUUAGGAGUGACAUCACAUAUACGGCGGCUAAACUGCUACAUAAGA
rnacentral:pre_miRNA from 9 species